AGCUUCGUGCAGUGGCAGUAUUGUAGGCAAUGAGGUUUAUCUGAGGCAUAAUUAUUGCUAACUGAAACAAAUGGAGCAGGGACAAGUGGAUAUCCACAUGCAACAGGAGGAAGGUGGACACCUGU
rnacentral:snRNA from 1 species